rnacentral:rRNA from 1 species
AGUGAACGCUGGCGGCGUGCCUAAUACAUGCAAGUCGAACGGAGUGGCGCACGGGUGAGUAAUGUAUAGCUAAUCUGCCCUACACUAGAGGACAACAGUUGGAAACGACUGCUAAUACUCUAUAGUGUAGGAUGAGGCUAUAUUGUAUCAGCUAGUUGGUGAGGUAAUGGCUAACUAAGGCUAUGACGCGUAACUGGUCUGAGGGGAUGAGCAGUCACACUGGACGUGAGACACCGUCCAGGCUCCUUCGGGAAGGAGCAGUAGGGUAUAUUGCUCAAGCGGGGAAACCCUAAAGCAGCAUCGCCGCGUGGAGGAUGAUACUUUGCGGAGCAUAAACUCCUUUUGUUAGGGAAGCGGUACCUAACGAAUAAGCACCGGCUAACUCCGUGCCAGCAGCCGCGGUAAUAC